rnacentral:rRNA from 1 species
CUUGAACGCUGGCGGCAGGCCUAACACAUGCAAGUCGAACGAGUGGCGGACGGGUGAGUAAUGUCUGGGAAACUUCCUGAUGGAGGGGUAUAACUACUGGAAACUGUAGCUGAUACCCCAUACCAUCAUAUGUGCCCAGAAGGGAUUAGCUAGUUGGUGGUGGAACGUCUCACCAAGGCGACGAUCCCUAGCUGGUCUGAGAGGAUGACGAGCCACACUGGAAGUGAGAAACGGUCCAGACUCCUCCGGGAGGCAGCAGUGGGGAAUAUUGCACAAUGGGGGCAAGCCUGAUGCAGCCAUGCCGCUUGUAUGAAGAAGGCCUUCGGGUUGUAAAGUACUUUCAGCGGGGAGGCGUUACCCGCAGAAGAAGCACCGGCUAACUCCGUGCAAGCAGCCGCGGUAAUAC